rnacentral:rRNA from 1 species
CACGCCGUAAACGUUGGGCACUAGGUGUGGGGAUCGUUGUGGUUUCUGCGCCGUAGCUAACGCAUUAAGUGUCCCGCCUGGGGAGUACGGCCGCAAGGCUAAAACUCAAAGGAAUUGACGGGGACCCGCACAAGCGGCGGAGCAUGCGGAUUAAUUCGAUGCAACGCGAAGAACCUUACCAAGGCUUGACAUGCACCGGUACAGUGUAGAGAUAUGCUGGCCUUUUUGGCUGGUGUGCAGGUGG